rnacentral:lncRNA from 1 species
UCACUUUCAAACGUGUCAAAAAUCGACUUUUUCUCUUGACAAAACUUCUGGUGCUAGCAAGAACGCGUGUUCACCCUUUUCGACAUGUAUGGAGUUGUUGUUGCUCCCAAAAGGUACGUACACGAACCUAAUCACAGAAAGAAAAAUAAUUUUCUUAAAUCCCAUCCCAAUGAAUUUAAACCAACCUAGCAUAGAGUAAGAAACGACAAUCCUCCUAGGGCAAAUAUAGCCGAAGGAGAUGACAUUAUGGUUGCGGUCGUUUCUCAAGUAAAUCUGAUGACCAAUGUGAGCAAAUGGGUGUGUUAAACUUGCUUCUAGUCGCAUCAAAGCCAACAAACUCAGUUUCCCCACUAAUGUAAUAUAGGGGUCAACCAAGAAUCAAUCCAAGGACUCAACUAUGAUUAAGUCUAAAGUGUAAAGUUUAUUCUUGUAAUUAUUUACUAAUUAUUUAUGAAACGUGGGGAAAGAAAAUCUAAUUUUAAAAUCAAAGAAUUAAAAAUUAAAAUUUGUUUCAAAGGAUAAGAAAGGAAAAUGCAAGAAAGAAAUUGAAACCUAAACUAAAGUACUGGAAAGAUUAAAUCUAAUUAUUCAUACAAUUCAAACAAUAACUAUUUCAACAUAUGAAUGCUACAAAUUAACCGUGCAAGAAAAACAAAAGUAAAAUUGAAUAUAGAAACUACUGAUGCAUGAAAGCAAUGAAAAUAAUUGAGUGAGAAAACAAUAAGGAACUAACAUUUAACACUCACGAACAUGAAAUCCAAAUCAAAUACUUUGAUUCAUUCAGUGUUUUGAAUUUCACCCUGACUCAAGGAGACACCUUGGAAAAGAAAAGCUCACUGUGGAGCCAAUACAAUUUCUCUUAUUAGAGAAAAUAAAGUGCAGUUUCACAAUUCAAAACCUAAAUCAAAACAAAAAAUUUUUUUCUGAGAAGACAACAAUAGCAUAAUUGAAUUCACAAUAUUUUUUCUUCAUUAGACUCGUCUCCAAACUCGAGAAGACAUUUUGGUAUGUCAUGCUCACUGUGGAGUCAUGUAAUCCCCUAAGGAAUUUUAACUGUGGAGUCACAGAGUCCAAAUCAGCUUUUAUACAAAACCAAACAAUUGACAAAUAUAUUUUUUUACUCGUUGGAGUCACUCUGACUCGAGAAGACAUCUCGGUCAUGCAGGCCCAACUCGGGGUCGUUUAACUCCAAAAAAGAAUUAUAAUGUGCAGAGUUACGAGUUCAAAUCGUUUUUAAAUCAAAAUACACAAGAAACACAGAAACAUUGAAGAAACAAAAUAAAAAAGCAUGUAAAACAAAGAACACAUCAAAGAUAGAGAACAUUUUAUUAACAUGAAACGAGAAUUACAGUACCUAACAACGCAUAAUCGGAGCCACCAUGGGUUGUCACCACCGUGAGUGUGCGUUCCAAAAGUAAGGAAAAUGAAAAUCCUAACUAUCUAAAACUGUAAAAAAAAUGGAAAAAUAUUUCGGUCCCUUCGAUUCUAUUUACAAAAGCCCUUUUUAUAGGGUCAAAGACAAAUGAAAAUAUGAAAGAGAGAAAAGGAAAGAGUGAAACUUGUUUUCGACACUUCGGGCUUCACUUUGAUCCAACGGUCCUCUUUAUUUUGCCUCAUUGCUCUCUACUAGCCGUUUGAUCAUCCAUAUGGCAACGCCGGUCAACUCUUCUUUCUUGUCGGUCAUCUUCUCCGGGCAGGUUUAAUCACGUGCGUCUUCGCUCUCUCUCACUCUAACCCUAGAAAAGGGUUGUUUUCUUCUUAUCGUCCUCUUUCUCUCCCUCGAAGCCUUCGCACAAAGGAUGCUUCUGCCCAAAUGAAUGCUUGAGAGAUAGACCCCCAAAGACAACCAAGCCAAAACGCUACGUUUCAUUAACUUCAGCUGUUGUCCAAGUCCAACCAUGUUACCCACUCUUGUUUUAAACAUCAGCAACGCCCCAAUUUGGAGUCAACCCACUUCAUUCUUCAAGCAGCGUUUGAGGCAAAGAUGCCCAUUAAAUCUCUUCGUCAGCUUUCAAACAACACUUUGCAGCGGCCUAGAUCAAAAGUGCAGUGGCAAUCUUUCAGCAGUGCAGCCCAAUUGCUUUGAAUCUCCCUCCAAUGAAAUGGUAGCAGCUUUCAGACGUGGCAACAACAUCAUUCCAUCAGACCAACCCCUUUGCAAAACGGCCCAUCUAUCCAAUUAAGUGGGCAAUUAGCAGCCAAUCCUAAGCGGCCAAUUCAAAUAUAAACCAAUCAACCCUCUCCAGCAUAGCAAUAGUGCAACAGCCCAAUAUACUUUUGUUGACCAAAUCAACCCAGUUGACCAAGGCCCAAAACCCAAUCUGCAGAAAAAAUCAAUCAAUAAUUAAAGGAAAGGGCAUUUCAAAAAUUAAAGAAAAGAAAAUCCUAUCUAAACAAAAAUAAAGAAAAGAAUUCUUAAAAAAAUACUAAUUUCCUAUUUAUGACAAACACUAAAAAAAUACUUCUAAAAUCCAAAUUUUAACUACAAUUUUAUAAAACUACAAUUUUAUACAAAAAUCCUAAAAUUAACCUAAUUCUAAACAAUAAAAAAAAAACUAAAAUGAACUAAGAAUGAUUUCUAAACACAGAAAAAUAAGCAAAUUUAGAGUGUUAUCAAGGUGGUAGACUCUGGUGCUACCAGGCAUAUCGGUGCAAACAGAAGUGCCUUAACCUCUUACACUAGUGUAGGGGAUGGAAAGAACAUGUCUACCUCGGAGAUCCCAAGACCAUUCCUGUUUUGGGAAAAGGGAAAGUUCUUCUUAAGCUCACAUCUGGAAAGACUUUGGCCUUGAGUGAUGUGUUACACGUGACAUCAAUCAAAGUUAUUUUAAUCUUUGUAGCACUGUUGGGAAAGGUGGGGGUUAAAGUGUCAUUUGAGUAUGAAAAGAUCAUUAUGACAAAAAAUAAUGUUUUCGUGGGGAACGGAUAUUGUGAUCAAGGACUCUUCAUUCUAAAUGUUUCUGAAAAUAUUAAUGAAUCAAGUUCUUCUGCUUAUAUUGUUGACUCGUAUGAUAUAUGGCAUGCUAGAUUAGGACAUGUGAAUCCCUCGUAUGUUUUGAAAUUACAACGACUACGAUUGAUUAUAAUAUGCAUGAUAAACAAAGUAGUAAAUGUGAUAUAUGUGUAGAAUCUAAAAUGACAAAGAAAACAUGUUUUUCUGUAGAACGCCAAUCUGAAUUGUUAGGGUUAAUUCAUGUUUACUGCAUGUUUUUAACAAAAUAGAAUACCCUAUAAGAAAACUGAUAAAAAUCCUUAUGAGUUGUGGAAAGGUUACCAACCUAACCUUAAAUAUCUAAGAGUGUGGGGGUGCUUAGCUAAGGUGAUGUUACCCGAAUCCUAAGAAAAGGAAAAUAGGCUUUAAAACCUCUGAUUGUAUGUUCUUAGGUUAUGCUUAACAUAAUGUUGCCUAAAGUUUUCUAGUUGUUAAAAGUAACAUACUUGAUAGAAACUCUAUAAUUGAGACAAAAAAUGCUGAGUUUUUUUAGCAUGUGUUUCCCUUAAAGGUUAGUGAAAUGUCUCAACAUGUUGAUGAUAAUAAUAAUAGUGAUACCAUGAAUGAGGAUUUGAGAAGAAGUAAAAGACAGAGAAAGGAAACUUCCUUUGGAGAUGACUUUUAUACUUAUCUUGCUUAUAAUGAACCAAUAAGCUUUGUAGAAGCUACUAGUUCUCCUGAUGUAAAACAGUGGGGUAAGGCCACUAGAAUUGAAAUUGAAUAAAUUUAGAAAAACAAUACUUGGACUUUAGUAUAUUUGCCUAAAGGAGCAAAACCCAUUGGUUGUAAGUGGAUCUUUAAGAAGAAGUAUCACCCUGAUGGAUCCAUAAAGAAGUAUAAGAUCUUGGCAUGAUCUCUAGAGCACUCAUGAAUAUUGGGCACGCGCAUGGCCUAGUAAGCGCAACACAGCGAUAACAACAAGGAUUGUGGAGGUGUAUUGUGAUUGAUAAACCUCUAACACAUGUCAAGUGUCUUUGGUUCAUAUAGCUUGCUAUACCAACUACAAUGUGUGUUAAGUAUCUCAAUCUAAGACUGGUUCAUAUAGCUUGCAAUACCAGCUUUGGUGCAUUAUAUCCUUUGAGACUCAGAAUGAAAGUUUCUUAUCUUUCUUUUAAUGUUUGAACUAUUUGAGUAAAAGAUUUUUCUUUCAACUCUCUUUUGCAAUAAGUGGGGGAUUGUUAUAAUAUUUUAUUAUUAUUGCAAAAGUGAAAACGUUUUAGGACAUUUAUUUUAGAACGUUGGAAAUUUGUUGGCAACGACUUCAAUUCCUUAAGUGCUCCAACGUUAACAAAUUUAAUGUUUUUUAUUUUCUUUUCUUGAUUUUAUUCUCUCAUAGCUCUAUAAAUAGAGAUCUUUUCCCCAUUCCAAAACACACAAAAUUUAGUCUUUCUCAUUCUUCUCUCUUCUGAUUUUCAUUCUUUAGCUUUUUUCUUCUUCUAAAAAUAUUAUGGGUUAUUCUUGUACUCUGUUUAGAGAUCCUUGCUAGUUCUGAUAUCCUUAGAAAUUCUGAGAAGUUCUUGUUGUAUAUUGGGGGACUUGCGCAAUACACCGCAGAUAAGUCCUUAGGACAAUGACUCUACACACCUCAAAAAAAUACUAUUUGUCAGCUUUUUACAACAAAGAAUUUGCAGUUUUUUCCCUAAUAAAUUACAAGAGAAGAGUUUUCACAUUUUUCCACACCAAAAUUGCACGAGAGGAGUUUGUAGUUUUGUUUACAAAAAUUUAGUAUGAGAUGUUUUGGUGUUUACAGUUUUGAGCGACUCGGGGAUAUAUUCUACAAUUUUUUGUUUUCUUUUACAUCUAUGGUUAUUAUGAAAAAGAAUAUGGGUCGGUAUUCCUUGACAUAUUUAAUUGUUAAUAAUUCCUUUAAGAAGCAUAGUAUGGACAACGUGGCAACCAUUGUCAUUAUUCUGGAGUUUUUCAAUUUCUCACCAAACUCACUUAGGGGAACCUGUAUUGAAAAGAGGGAUGUAGGUUUUCUAUUUGGUUUGCAAGAAUCUUCCUUCAAAAGCUUAGUUAAUGGCAUCUCGUCUGAUCUUAUGCAUUCGGAGCACCCUCUUCUAGUAGAUACCAAGUUGAAGAGAAUAUUGGUUGAAGUAAAAGAUUGUGGUUUUGGUUCCCUUUUUUCAUCUGAAAAUUUUGAUGAACCAAAGGACUCCAAAGCAAAUUUCCAAAAAUAUUGACUAAGAUGACUAUUUGUAUGAACUACCUCCGCCUUCGCCUAAUUUCCAUUCUCAUCAUGCUACUGUUAAUGAAGCUGAAGACCGAUGCAUAAAUCCUGAAGGUUUUGCUAGUUUCAUUGGUCUUGAAUCACAUGAUACUGAUUCUCAAAAUGGGUAUUCUGAUUAUUCAAUGCCUAAUUUGAGGUAUGUGUUGAAGAAGAGUUUUCAAAGUGGAUCAUUUGGUGAAGUGUGGUUGGCUUUUCACGGGAAUUAUAAUCAAGAUAAUAAUGUUGCAAAAGGGAGUAGGGAUAAUACAAAUACAAGAAACAACACAACUACUUCUGAUUGUCAGAACGAUCCUUCUAAUUACACCGUGUACAUUAUGAAAUGUAUAACGGUGGAGAUGGGGUCAACUAUUUACUUAAGUGGUCUAAGGGAGAAGAACUUCGGAGAAGUCUUUUUAAAUCCACUAUUGGCCAGAAAAUCAAACUGUCUUGGAAUGAUCAUCACAGUUUGGUUUUAGGAAAUAUUUCCGAACAAAUUUCGACUAUGAAAAACCCCAUAUGAAGAAGGCUUGAACCAUAUUGUAAGAUAUGUGGACCUUUUGAGUCUCAAGCAAGCAAAAUUUGACUUAUAUUGACUGUCAAAACGUCUGUAUUCCGUGGAAGAUGCAUGUGGUACUGUUGAGAAGGAAAGACUUGAGCAAGCUAAGCAAGUAUAGAAAUACGAUCCUUAAAGUGGUGGCAUUGGUUGAAAACAACAUAAUAAAGGCAGACAGAAACACGCAACCUUAUUUGGCAGUUGAGAAUAUGCAGAUAUGCUUUGAAGAUAAGGAAAUAGGGAGAUGCUUGAAAGAGAUUCUCACUAAAGUUAAUAAUUCUUUGACCAAAAUGCAUAUUAUUGAUUUUGAAAGUGGCAUUGAUGAAUACAUAUUAAAUAAUUUGUAUGGUUCUAUUGGGCCUUCGAGAGCUAAGCAAACCUAUGAGUAUAAUCCUUCUAAAGCUUUACUAAAUGUAGAGCGUGGGUGUUGAGAUGUUAGAGUUGGUCUUAGGGACAGUAGAUGUUUUUUAGAUAAAUGCCUUUUGUCUAGAAAAAAUUGUAUGAAGGUUUGCACUUCUUCUGAGAGAACUUUGACCAAAAAAAUUUGUAGUUUUAUCUACACAAAAAAUACAUAAUAAGAGUUUGCUAAAAAUGUACUGAGACCUACAUGUUAGUAAUGGUUAAAUUGUUGAAAUUGUCUUUCUUAUGUAGUUUGUUAAAAAACUGCUUAAUAAAUUUGAAAUAAGCUAUUGCAAAAAGUUUCUCAAAAUUAUUGAAUAGAAUAAUGAGAUAACUGAAGUAAUGGAGGAAUUUUUGUUGGUUCUUCAAUCCAAAGUUUGACAUUGAGUAAAAUAAAGACACUACCAGAACAAAGUUAUUAUAAAAAUGAAAAAUUGAUUUGAGAGAGAUUACCCCAACUCAAUACAUCUUUUACGGGUGUGGUAGACUUGGGUAGUUGUGUUUUAAUCAAAGGUUUACAACUUUUUUUCAAAAAAUUAUACGAGGUGAGUUUCCCUUUUUUCUACAAGAAAUUACAGGAGAAGAGUUUGUAGUUUUCUCCAUAGUAAUAGUAGGUUGACACGCCUACGUGUUACCUACACUCAUUUGACACGGUCCAGGUAAGUUUUUUGAAAAAAAAAAUUGUUCAGUAGACGUGGGUAAAAGGGGAAAAAGAAAAAUAUGGCUUUCGGUCUUCUUUUGCUCCUCUUUCAAAAAUCACAUUUAGGUUUUCUUUCUUUCAAGACGCAUUGUUCUUCAUCAUUCUUCGUCGGUGCUCUUCUUCAUCGUCUUUCAUUGGCACCCUUGAGCUGCUUCAAUCGGUGGUGUGUUUGAGUUAGGCUUCUAAUCGCUGCAUUCUCUGUUUUUACAAGCUGAUUUUCUUUGGAAGGUAAUAACAGAGAAAUAAUUUUAUUUAAUCUUUGGUCUUUGAGUGAGAAACUGCAUUACCUUGAGUCCUUGGUACCUUCCAAGCAUGAGAAUGGUGGCCAAUGGGUUUGUGCCAGGUGACAAAGUAAGAUGUAAAAAUGUAUAGUGGUUGAACUUGAGAUGACAAAGUCUCUUCUCUCAAGUCAUUAGACACACCUACAAAAACAAUCAUUUCUUAGAAUAUAAAAGUCAGGUAUUUUGAUUGUUCAAAAUCAUUAUUCUAUACACUGAUGUCUAUCUUUGGUCCAUAGAAUGCUUCAUCCCCUUCAUUCAACUACAAGGUUUUACACAAAUAUAAGCACAAAGAUAGUAAAGCUUACAAAUGUCAUAUUCCACAGAAAAUAAUAAAACAUUAUGAAAAUAAAAAAUGGAGUGUGUAGGUGUGAGUGAAAAACCUUCACCCAUAUCAACAUAAAGAUGAAGAGAACAAAUGGGUGUUGUCAUAAACAAAAUGAAACUGCCAACAUAAGCAAAUUAGAUGAUAUAAUGCAAAAAGGAAUCAAGGGCGGACUGGAGGAAUGAGCCUGUAGUAGAGCAUUUCGUGUUUUCAAAACUAAAUCAAAAACAAAACUCUCUGUCUCACGCCCUUGCCCCUUUACUCUAGGGUUUUCGAAAAUGAACAAAAAAGAAAACGAAAGAUAGAGAAAUGAUGAGAAAAGAAGAAAUGAAUUGAAAGGGGACAAACCUCAUAUGCUUCGCACUUCGUCGGUUCGAACUCUUCUGAUCAUCGAUCACGUACAGCCUGUGGCAGCUGUACUUCUCUGUUUUUUUUUUCCUUUGUUGCUCUCUCUCUCAACCCCAAUCAGCUCUCACCGAAACACAUCGCAAAUGACAACUUUGCCCUUAAUGACAUUCAGAAUAAUUGGGUCCCACCCCGUGUCAAAUGAGUGUCGAGUGUCGUGUCAAAGAAUUGUUUUCCUUUUCUCCAUGAAAAAUUGCA